rnacentral:rRNA from 1 species
GACGAACGCUGGCGGCGUGCUUAACACAUGCAAGUCGAACGGAAAGGCCCUGCUUGCAGGGUGCUCGAGUGGCGAACGGGUGAGUAACACGUGGGUGAUCUGCCCCUUAUUUUGGGAUAAGCCUGGGAAACUGGGUCUAAUACUGGAUAGGACCAUGCUGUAGGUGGUGUGGUGGAAAGAUUAGUUUCGGUAAGGGAUGAGCUCGCGGCCUAUCAGCUUGUUGGUGGGGUAAUGGCCUACCAAGGCGUCGACGGGUAGCCGGCCUGAGAGGGUGGACGGCCACAUUGGGACUGGGAUACGGCCCAGACUCCUACGGGAGGCAGCAGUGGGGAAUAUUGCACAAUGGGCGCAAGCCUGAUGCAGCGACGCCGCGGGGGGGAUGACGGCCUUCGGGUUGUAAACUCCUUUCAGCCAUGACGAAGCCCUUGUGGUGACGGUAGUGGGAGAAGAAGCACCGGCUAACUACGUG